rnacentral:rRNA from 1 species
AUAUUGGCGAGAGACCGAUAGCGCACAAGUAGAGUGAUCGAAAGAUGAAAAGCACUUUGGAAAGAGAGUUAAAAAGCACGUGAAAUUGUUGAAAGGGAAGCGCUUGCAAUCAGACUUGUUUAAACUGUUCGGCCGGUCUUCUGACCGGUUUACUCAGUUUGGACAGGCCAGCAUCAGUUUCGGCGGCCGGAUAAAGGCUCUGGGAAUGUGGCCUCCACUUCGGUGGAGUGUUAUAGCCUGCUGUGUAAUACCGCCGCUGGGACUGAGGACCGCGCUUCGGCUAGGAUGCUGGCAUAAUGGUCAUCAAUCACCCGUCUUGAAACACGGACC